rnacentral:rRNA from 1 species
UACGUAGGGGGCAAGCGUUGUCCGGAUUUAUUGGGCGUAAAGAGCGUGUAGGCGGUUUGGUAGGUCCGCUGUGAAAACUCGAGGCUCAACCUCGAGACGCCGAUGGAAACCAUGUGGCUAGAGUCCGGAAGAGGAGAGUGGAAUUCCUGGUGUAGCGGUGAAAUGCGCAGAUAUCAGGAAGAACACCCGUGGCUAAGGCGGCUCUCUAGUACGGUACUGACGCUGAGACGCGAAAGCGUGGGGAGCGAACAGG